UACGUAGGGUGCGAGCGUUGUCCGGAAUUAUUGGGCGUAAAGAGCUUGUAGGCGGUUUUGUCGCGUCUGCUGUGAAAAUCCGGGGCUCAACCCCGGACUUGCAGUGGGGUACGGGCAGACUAGAGUGUGGUAGGGGAGACUGGAAUUCCUGGUGUAGCGGUGAAAUGCGCAGAUAUCAGGAAGAACACCGAUGGCGAAGGCAGAUCUCUGGGCCGGUAACUG
rnacentral:rRNA from 1 species